rnacentral:tRNA from 1 species
GGGCCCGUAGCUCAGCCUGGCUGGAGCGCUCGGCUGAUACGGGAGAGGUCGCCGGUUCGAAUCCGGCCGGGCCCA